CCAGACUUGACAUCCCUGGAACCCCGUAGAGAUAUGGGGGUGCUCGCAAGAGAGCCGGGAGACAGGUGCUGCAUGGCUGUCGUCAGCUCGUGUCGCGAGAUGUUGGGUUAGGUCCCGCAACGAGCGCAACCCUCGCCUUCAGUUGCCAGCAUUGAGUUGGGCACUCUGGAGGGACUGCCGGUGUCAAGCCGGAGGAAGGUGGGGAUGACGUCAAGUCCUCAUGGCCUUUAUGUCUGGGGCUACACACGUGCUACAAUGGCCGGUACAAAGGGCAGCGAAGGCGCGAGCCGGAGCCAAUCCCAGAAAACCGGUCCCAGUUCGGAUCGAAGUCUGCAACUCGACUUCGUGAAGUCGGAAUCGCUAGUAAUCGCGGAUCAGAACGCCGCGGUGAAUACGUUCCC
rnacentral:rRNA from 1 species